rnacentral:RNase_P_RNA from 2 species
ACGUUCGGGUAAUCGCUGCAAGAAGCUUUUGCUACUUGUAGAGGAAAGUCCAUGCUCGCACGAGCUGAGAUGCUCGUAGUGUUCGUGCCUAGCCAAUUCAUAAGCUAGGGCAGUCGAGAGGCUGACGGCAGGGAAAAUGCCUAAGUCCGUUAAGGAUAUGGCAUGAAUACCUUUAAAGUGCCACAGUGACGUAGCCUCUUCAGAAAUGGAGAGGGUGGAACGAGGUAAACCCCACGAGCGAGAAACCCAAAUAAUGGUAGGGGCACUUUCUCUGAGGAAUUGAACAAGGAGAAGGACAGGUUGAUUUUCAAUCUGUAGAUAGAUGGUUACCACCGGAGUACGAGACUUUGGUCGUUUGCAGUACGAAGGAACAGAACAUGGCUUACAGAA